AGUGAACGCUGGCGGCAGGCCUAACACAUGCAAGUCGAACGGCAGCACAGUAAGAGCUUGCUCUUACGGGUGGCGAGUGGCGGACGGGUGAUGACUACAUCGGAACCUACUUUUUCGUUGUGGAUAACUUAGGGAAACUUUCGCUAAUACCGCAUAUGAUCUACCGGUGAAAGCAGGGGACUUUCUGACCUUGUGUGUUUGUUUGAGUCGAUGUCGCAUUAGCUCGUUGGGGGGGUAAAGGCCCACCAAGGCGACGAUCCGUAGCUGGUCUGAGAGGAUGAUCAGCAACAAUAGAACUGAGGCAAGGUCCAGAAGACUACGGGAGGCAGAAGUAGGGAAUAAUAGACAAUGGGCGCAAGAAUGAUCAAGCAAGACCGCGUGGGGGAAGAAGGACUUCGGAUUGUAAAGCACUUUUGUUGGGAAAGAAAAGCGGCAGGUUAGUACCCAGCUGGUCUGACGGUACCCAAAGAAGAAGCACCGGCUAACUUCGUG
rnacentral:rRNA from 1 species